GCUAUUUCAAUCGUGAGCCAAUAGAAAACCAUCCUUUGCAUUUGGCGGCAGAGCUCAGGUUUAACCCUUAACCUUUUCGGGCUCUGGCUCGGGCUCGGAGAGAACAUCACUCCCCAGGUUCCUGACCAGCGGGGACGCUGAAAGAGCGACCUCAACAGUGGACGCCGAGGCCUACGGGAAACGUAGUCUUGACUCCUUCUGGCUCCCCGCGCGGCGCUCUGGGAAGGGGAUUCCGGGAUCCCUCUGCGCAUGUGCAGCCGUAGCCCCGCCUCCUCCCUCGUCUUCUCAGGACUCCGCGGGAGCCGUUAAGUACCUCAGUCUCCUCGGGAAGUGGAGGGCGCGCCCGGGAGGCUGCGCUGCUGUCAGACAUGUCCAUCACCACAUGUGACAUUAAUGACAUCAUCCUGACCUCGCAGGAUCCCAGAAUAAUGAUGCUUGAAGGAUUUUCCAAAGUCGUCUACUUUAAUUCUUGAAAACUUUAAAGACAUUGGACCUGAAAGUUUCAGUGACUUGUCCAGGGAAACCUGGUUUAUGACAGAGUUAGAAGGAAAACUGCAGUUCCCUCUCAGGUGUCACCAAAAGCAUCUUAUCAAAGGGGCCUUCUGAGGAAUACAUCCCAGCUGAAACGAACAAAAGUUCCUGCCUUCAAGCAUCCCAUCUCUUUUCUGUGAAUUGUCUGUACCAAGAGUCAGAAGGACACGUAUUAUUAUGAACUCACUCAAGAAAAGUUUAUGUUCACUCAGUAAAAAAACUGCAGAUGAUCAUUGCAGAGUCACGCAAAGACAGCUGAGCCACAGUUCUCUACACUCACCCAGGAGCCACAGAAAGUGAACAUCCUUCAGUUACACCUGAUAGAGAACUGGAAACUGGAUAAAAAGUACCCCCACAACAAGGGACUAUGCUGUCUCAGUUGGAAGACGCAGAAAUUCCUUUCUGGAGAGGAAAAAGCCACAUUUUAGCUCUGGCACUCCAUGGCUGGAAGCAGUCUUAAGGUGUUGAUGCUUGUCAGUUGCAGCAGACUUGUGCUUCUCAAACAGCCACAUAAGGGAUUGGCCCCACCUUCCAAAGCCUGAAACAAUUGGAUGCAGCCAUACCUGGGGCCGACCCCACCCAGCUGCAAUCCUGAGAGAGCUGACAACAACCUUGCAGCCUGGAGGCCAACAGCAAUUGCAAGGGAAACGAAAGAAAAACACAUGGGACUACAGCAAACUAAAAAGCUGCACAGCAAAGGAAACCAUCAACAAAAUAAGAAGACAACAUAGCAUUUGGGAGAAGAUACUUGCAAACCUUGUAUCUGAUAAGGGGUUAAUAUCCAAAAUAUAUAAAGAAUUCAUACAUCUCAAUAACAACAAAACAACCCAAUUAAAAAAUGAGCAAAAGUGGCUGGCCUGGUGGUGGCAGUGGUUAAGUUUGAACAUUCCACUUCAAUGGCCCA
rnacentral:lncRNA from 1 species